rnacentral:rRNA from 1 species
UACAGAGGUCCCAAGCGUUGUUCGGAUUCAUUGGGCGUAAAGGGUGCGUAGGUGGCGCCGUAAGUCAGGUGUGAAAUUUCGGAGCUUAACUCCGAAACUGCAUUUGAUACUGCGGUGCUUGAGGACUGGAGAGGAGACUGGAAUUUACGGUGUAGCAGUGAAAUGCGUAGAGAUCGUAAGGAAGACCAGUGGCGAAGGCGGGUCUCUGGGCCGAUACUGACGCUGAGGAGCGAAAGCGUGGGGAGCGAACAGG